rnacentral:rRNA from 1 species
AGAAUCAACGCUGGCGGCGUGCCUAACACAUGCAAGUCGCACGAGAAAGGGUAGCAAUACCUGAGUAAAGUGGCGCACGGGUGAGUAACACGUGAAUGAUCUACCUCCGAGUGGGGAAUAACUGAGAGAAAUCUCAGCUAAUACCGCAUAACACUUACGAGUCAAAGCAGCAAUGCGCUUGGAGAGGAGUUCGCGGCCGAUUAGUUAGUUGGCGGGGUAAUGGCCCACCAAGACGAUGAUCGGUAUCCGGCCUGAGAGGGCGCACGGACACACUGGAACUGAAACACGGUCCAGACUCCUACGGGAGGCAGCAGUGGGGAAUUUUGCGCAAUGGGGGAAACCCUGACGCAGCAACGCCGCGUGGAGGAUGAAAUAUCUUGGUAUGUAAACUCCUUUCGAUGGGGAAGAUUAUGACGGUACCCAUAGAAGAAGCCCCGGCUAACUUCGCGCCAGCAGCCGC